rnacentral:sRNA from 1 species
UGCAUCUGUAACUCAUGAGGAAGAGAACCUCCGGGGGCGGGGAGAUUCGACUCGAGCGAAGCGAGAGAACGUUGCGCUAGCAACGGCCCGCAGGGCGAGCCACGAAGUGGCGAGUAAUCCUCUAUCACCGACCA